GGGGCUUUGGCGAAGUUGGGAUCGCGUCUGACUGGCAGUCAGAAGACCAGGGGUUCGAAUCCCCUAAGCUCCACCA
rnacentral:tRNA from 1 species